rnacentral:rRNA from 1 species
CCUACGGGAGGCAGCAGUGGGGGAUAUUGGACAAUGGGGGGAACCCUGAUCCAGCGACGCCGCGUGAGUGAAGAAGUAUCUCGGUAUGUAAAGCUCUAUCAGCAGGGAAGAAGAAAUGACGGUACCUGAGUAAGAAGCCCCGGCUAACUACGUGCCAGCAGCCGCGGUAAUACGUAGGGGGCAAGCGUUAUCCGGAAUUACUGGGUGUAAAGGGAGCGUAGACGGUGAUGUAAGUCUGGAGUGAAAGGCGGGGGCCCAACCCCCGGACUGCUCUGGAAACUAUGUGACUGGAGUGCAGGAGAGGUGAGCGGAAUGCGCGGUGUAGCGGUGAAAUGCUUAGAUAUCGCGCAGAACCCCGAUUGCGAAGGCAGCGUACCGGCUCCACACUGACGCUGAGGCACGAAAGCGUGGGUAUCGAACAGGAUUAGAUACCCUUGUAGUC